rnacentral:rRNA from 3 species
AAUCCAUAGGUUAAUGAGGCGAACCGGGGGAACUGAAACAUCUAAGUACCCCGAGGAAAAGAAAUCAACCGAGAUUCCCCCAGUAGCGGCGAGCGAACGGGGAGGAGCCCAGAGCCUGAAUCAGCAUGUGUGUUAGUGGAAGCGUCUGGAAAGGCGCGCGAUACAGGGUGACAGCCCCGUACACAAAAGCGCAUGUGCUGUGAGCUCGAUGAGUAGGGCGGGACACGUGGUAUCCUGUCUGAAUAUGGGGGGACCAUCCUCCAAGGCUAAAUACUCCUGACUGACCGAUAGUGAACCAGUACCGUGAGGGAAAGGCGAAAAGAACCCCGGCGAGGGGAGUGAAAAAGAACCUGAAACCGUGUACGUACAAGCAGUGGGAGCACCCUUUGGGUGUGACUGCGUACCUUUUGUAUAAUGGGUCAGCGACUUAUAUUCUGUAGCAAGGUUAACCGAAUAGGGGAGCCGGAGGGAAACCGAGUCUUAACCGGGCGUUAAGUUGCAGGGUAUAGACCCGAAACCCGGUGAUCUAGCCAUGGGCAGGUUGAAGGUUGGGUAACACUAACUGGAGGACCGAACCGACUAAUGUUGAAAAAUUAGCGGAUGACCUGUGGCUGGGGGUGAAAGGCCAAUCAAACCGGGAGAUAGCUGGUUCUCCCCGAAAGCUAUUUAGGUAGCGCCUCGUGAAUUCAUCUCCGGGGGUAGAGCACUGUUUCGGCUAGGGGGCCAUCCCGGCUUACCAACCCGAUGCAAACUGCGAAUACCGGAGAAUGUUAUCACGGGAGACACACGGCGGGUGCUAACGUCCGUCGUGAAGAGGGAAACAACCCAGACCGCCAGCUAAGGUCCCAAAGUCAUGGUUAAGUGGGAAACGAUGUGGGAAGGCCCAGACAGCCAGGAUGUUGGCUUAGAAGCAGCCAUCAUUUAAAGAAAGCGUAAUAGCUCACUGGUCGAGUCGGCCUGCGCGGAAGAUGUAACGGGGCUAAACCAUGCACCGAAGCUGCGGCAGCGACACUGUGUGUUGUUGGGUAGGGGAGCGU